AUUUGCAGCAAAUAAGAUGAGGGGAGCCGAGACUCCGGGAGCAGGGUGUGAUCUGGAAAGACCACCUAAGUCUGAAGCUGCCUGCGAGAGAAUCAAAUCAACUCAGAGAAAAGAAAAGCCAACAGAAUCUACUUUUGGGGCGCCUGGGUGGCCCAGUCGUUAAGCAUCUGCCUUCG